CCUCGCAUGGGCAAACAGUCUUUCCAAAAGUGCUGUGUCGUGGGUCGCUCAUCCAUGGGAUGCAGACCUCUGAGGAUAGGCUGCUCUAGUUUGGAAGCAAGGGUCCUCUCUAUGUCUGGAAGCAGGGGCCCUCUCUCUCUGUUCGGGUCUGCCACUGGAUCACAGCUUUCUCCGGCAUCCACCUGCUCCACUGUGAGCACUUUUCCCAUGAGCUGUGAGUGGAUCUCUGCAUCACCCACAGAUUUCAUGCAUUACAAGGGGGCAAUUUGUUGUACCAUAGUCUUCACCACAGUUUGCAGAGGAAUCUUGGCUCCGACACUCGGAGCUCCUCCUCUCCCUCUUUUUUUCCACUGACCUUGGUGCCGCCAUGUUGUUGUCCCUCACGUGUCCUCGCUUCCUCCUCUUCUCUAACUAGAAGAAAAACUGCUGCUGUCACUUCAGGGAAAAAAGGAAGACACAAUGGGCGGUAAAGAGGAACCUGUGGACUCCUGCUGUCCAGGCACUUACACAAACUACGUGAAGUCCAAUCUACAGAUACUAUCGGUUUCCUUCAUUUCAGUGGAACUAUCUAUGACAAGUUUUCUGGUUUCAACUCCCCUUCCUCCCCCAAUUUUUGUUUUUAAUAAAGAGUAUUUGUGCCAAGACUGAAAAA